CCUACGGGUGGCUGCAGUGGGGAAUAUCGGACAAUGGGCGAAAGCCUGAUCCAGCCAUGCCGCGUGUGUGAAGAAGGCCUUCGGGUUGUAAAGCACUUUCAGUGGGGAAGAAAGCCUUGGGGCUAAUACCCUCGAGGAAGGACAUCACCCACAGAAGAAGCACCGGCUAACUCCGUGCCAGCAGCCGCGGUAAUACGGAGGGUGCGAGCGUUAAUCGGAAUUACUGGGCGUAAAGCGCGCGUAGGCGGUCUGAUAAGCCGGUUGUGAAAGCCCCGGGCUCAACCUGGGAACGGCAUCCGGAACUGUCAGGCUAGAGUGCAGGAGAGGAAGGUAGAAUUCCCGGUGUAGCGGUGAAAUGCGUAGAGAUCGGGAGGAAUACCAGUGGCGAAGGCGGCCUUCUGGACUGACACUGACGCUGAGGUGCGAAAGCGUGGGUAGCAAACAGGAUUAGAUACCCCGGUAGUC
rnacentral:rRNA from 1 species